GAGCUCUGGGGUGUCUGCACAAUGGCCUGGACUCUGCUCCACCUCAUCCCCCUCCUCCUCCAGUGCACAGGCUCCUUUUCCCAGCCUGUGCUGUCGCAGCCACCCUCUGCAUCUGCCUCCCUGGGAGCCUCGGCCAAGCUCACCUGCACCCUGAGCAGUGGCUACAGCAGCUACAGUGUGGACUGGUACCAGCAGGUCCCAGGGAAAAGCCCAUGGUUCCUGAUGCGAGUUGGCAGCAGUGGUGUUGGAUCCAAGGGGAGUGGGGUCUCUGAUCGGUUCUCAGGCUCAAGUUCUGGUUUGGAGCGCUACCUGACCAUCCAGAACGUCCAGGAGGAGGACGAGGCUGAAUAUAUCUGUGGGGCAGACCAUGGCAGCUACAUGUAA